rnacentral:tRNA from 1 species
GGACCCGUAGCUCAGUGGUUAGAGCGCGCGGCUCAUAACCGCUUGGUCGCAGGUUCGAUCCCUGCCGGGUCCACAA